rnacentral:rRNA from 1 species
GUAACAACAUCUCGGGGACUGAACAUCAUAAAAACAUGUAGAAGAUGCCACGUAGCUGACGAAAGUCUCAUGCAUGUGCUCCAAUAUUGCUCUUCUACCAAAGGUUUACGAUACUCUCGUCAUCACAGAAUAUGUGCCAAAGUAGCAAAUAAAUUGAUGAAGAAUGGUUAUGGUGUAUAUCGUGAGAAGAGUUAUCCAGAUCCAAACAACUCAGGUUCAUACCUUCGACCAGAUUUAAUCGCAGUAAAAGAUGGUCAUGUUAUUGUUCUUGAUGUAACGGUUGUGUACGAAGUAACUGGUGCUACGUUUAUUAAUGCCUACCAAACAAAAGUAAAUAAAUAUAAUACGAUUAUGGUACAAAUCGAGCAAAUGUUCAAUUGUGUUAGUGGUGUACUGCAUGGUCUAGUAAUUGGAUCACGUGGUUCAAUUCAUCACAGUCAACUCCACAUCUGGCAUCAAAUGGGAUUCUCUUCCACAGAACUCAAAUAUGUGGCUAUAGGAUGCAUGGAAGAUUCGCUCAGAAUUAUGUCCACAUUCUCAAAAGCUAUUUUAUAAACUAAUCUCCUUCUUCUAUUAGUCAGUCUAAUUAAUUUUUCCUACACUCUACAUCUAGUUCCAUUAAUAAUCUGGUAUGAUCAGUGCUAUCUCUGCUACACUCAAUGCUUAAUCGCAUGCUAUUGACAGUCUAACACUUGAUUACUCUUACGACAUAUGCAUUGCUUGCCUCAGAGAAACCACUGAUCAUAUAGUGAAGUUCCUUAGUUUUUUGUUGAUAUAUUCUUCUUUCAUUCUCGCUUCGCUUUUUCUACUGUGUUCUUUUUAUCAGUUUUUUGUGGAAAAAUUGAGAAUUAAUAAAGUUAGCUGGUUCCGUCCGAAGUUUCCCUCAGGAUAGCUGGCAUUCAAUUUUCACAGUUAUAUCCGGUAAAGCGAAUGUUUAGAGGCAUUGGGCGUAAAAUACGCUCAACCUAUUGACAAACUUUAAAUGGGUAUGAAGUUCAUUUUUCUACUUCAUUGAGAAUGAACAGCGAAUGUGAGUGCCAAGUGGGCCAUUUUUGGUAAGCAGAACUGGCGCUGUUGGAUGCACAAAACGUCAAGAUAAAGAGCCAGAUGGUCUCGCUCAUCVRKCAGAUACCAUAAAAGGUGUUGGUCGAUAUAGACAGCAGGACGGUGGCCAUGGAAGUCGGAAUCCGUUAAGGAGUGUGUAACAACUCACCUGCCGAAUCGACUAGUCCUAAAAAUGGAUGGCGCUCGAGCGAGCCUCUUAUACUUGACUGUUACGAUACAACAAGCCAUUAACGGACAUCAUGUCGUAACAAGUAGGACGGUUGAUAUGGUUGCGUCGAAGGCUAACACGUGAGUGUGGCUUGAGCAGUCAUAUGUACAGAUCUUAGUGGUAGUAGCAACUAUUCAAAUGAGAACUUUGAAGACUGACGUGGAGAAAGGUUCCAUGUGAACAGCUAUUGGACAUGGGUCAGUCAGUCCUAAGAUGCGCUCGAAAGAGGGUUCCCGAACGAGGAAUAUCUAUAUUCAUAUCAUAUUUAUAUUCCAUCAAAUCGAAAGGGAAACAAGUUAAUAUUCUUGUACUAAGUGUCGGAGAUUGUUUGAUUUCGUGUCAAACAUAUGUGGUAACACAAACAAGCUCAAAUACAUCACAAGUGGUCCUGGAAAGAGUUUUCUCUUCUUUGUUACUUCAUCAGACGACCCUGGAAUCAGUUCAACUGGAGAUAGGGUUCAAAUGAAGGUAAAGAGUAGCCGUUCUUGCUACUUCCUCGGUGCAUCAUUUGUGAUCCUUGAAAAUUUGAGCGAGAUAUUCAAUUUCGCACUCAUCUGUACUCUAAACCGCAUCAGGUCUCCAAGGUGAAAAGCCUCUAGUCAAUUAGAACAAGGUAGCACAAGGGAAGUCGGCAAAAUCGAUCGGCAACUUCGGGAUAACGAUUGGCUCUAAGUGCUAGGGUGUUCGGGCUUGAUGAUAAAGCAGUAGACUUGCUAUUGGAGCUGAGCUUUCGGAUGCAGCAAUGUGUCUGAUCGUUCGGACUAGUGGCUUGUCUUGCUGUGGAAUCGUUUUGCUACGGUAUGCGGUUCGCUUGCGGGCCGUAUUACUUCGGACAUCGUUUAAUAGCAAACUUAGAACUCGCUGCGUCUAGGGGAAUCCGACUGUCUAAUUAAAACAGAGCUUUGCGAUUGGCCGGAAAACUUGGUGUUGACGCAAAGUGAUUUCUGCCCAGUGCUCUGAAUGUUAACGUGAAGAAAUUCAAAUAAGCGCGGGUAAACGGCGGGAGUAACUAUGACUCUCUUCUGGUAGCCAAAUGCCUCGUCAUCUAAUUAGUGACGCGCAUGAAUGGAUUAACGAGAUUCCCACUGUCCCUGUCUACUAUCUAGCGAAACCACAGCCAAGGGAACGGGCUUGGACUUCAAUGCGGGGAAAGAAGACCCUGUUGAGCUUGACUCUAAUCUGUCUUCGUAAAGAGACUUGAAAAGUGUAGCGUAGAUGGGAGUGGCAACACGUCAAUGAAACACCAUUAUUUUCAUUGUUUCUUUACUUACUUGGUUAUACAGAGAUUGGAUUUUACAUCCAGUGUUUGAGUGACAAACGUCGAUACUUGUAUCAACGUGAUCUGCUUCAAGGAAAGAGACAGGUGGGGAGUUUGGCUGGGGCGGUACAUCUAUCAAAUGUUAACGUAGGUGUCCAAAAGUUGACUCAGUGCGGACAGAAACCACACAUUGAGUAAAAGGGCAUAAGUCAGCUUGAUUUAGAUUUUCAGUACGAAUACAGACGGAGAAAUCCGGGCCUAUCGAUCCUUUUGAUUUAACGAGUUUUUUGCAAGAGGUGACAGAAAAGUUACCACAGGGAUAACUGGCUUGUGGCGGCCAAGCGUUCAUAGCGACGUCGCUUUUUGAUCCUUCGAUGUCGGCUCUUCCUAUCAUUGCGAAGCAGACUUCGCAAAGUGUUGGAUUGUUCACCCACCAAUAGGGAACGUGAGCUGGGUUUAGACCGUCGUGAGACAGGUUAGUUUUACCCUACAUUGGAUUUUGUCAUUGAUAUAGGAAUCGUACUUAGUACGAGAGGAACCGUACGUUCGGACAUUUGGUUUACGUAUUUGUUCGAAAGGACAAUGAUGCGAAGCUACCAUCCGACGGCUUACAACUGAACGCCUCUAAGUUGGAAUCCGAUCUAGACUCAAUGAUUUUUUGGCACAUUGGUUGUCGUCAGCACAUUUAUAUAUGUUCAAACUGUUGAUCAAGUGAACAUAUGAAUGAAGCUACCGUGUUGUUGCCUCGUCAUAAUCGAAAUGAGAUUGUGAU